GACUCGAGAGGAUGUGAGCUUUCUUUACACUACUCCUGAUGUUGGUGGGUGGCAUAUUGGAGUUCAUGGGCAGCGUGUGAACCAGCAUGGAUAACUUCACUCACCUCACCACUCUACUAAUUCUGCAACCUAUGGAUUCACUUACAAGGUCCUUUUGAAGACCCUGACCUGGAUUUACACGCUGACUGGCUUUUGUUGGAAUGGGACCCGCUCUCGGGAUCUCACGACUGGCCGCUAUUCAAUAUGCCAAGGACGUGGCCUAGAAGACUAGUGCGCCUUCAGCAUUCCAGGAUCUUGUGGCUGUGGAGAGAAACAACACAGUAACAGAUCCUUCUGGCUCAAUGAGCCCACUCCAUCCAAUUACACCGAUUUGAGCAAUUAACCUAUUAACUGGUACGUCUUUGGAAUGUAGGAGGAAACUGGAGCACCCAGAGGAAUCCCAGGUGGUCAUGGUCAUAGACACUCCUUACAGACAGCAACUAUACCCACUCAUGAGGAAGGCUCCAGGAGUAAACCCUGAGGAAAAAUCUGGAGUUGGAGUACCGAAGGCAAUCCUACGUUAAGUUCAACGCUGACUGACAACUCUUGCGAUGCUGCUGGUGCCAAACUUUAUCCGCCUCUGCUGCUUCUUUGUACUUAUCAACUGUGUGGAGGGGAGGGGGGAGCCUGCUGCAUGGGCAUCAGCUUGCUCUCGAUAACAUACUGCUCUGGCUUGGAUGCUGGUUUGUGUAUCAACUGAUAGUGAUAACGCAGACAGCCAGGAGGCAACAUCAUGUGACCAACAGGGGGCUCACACUUAUUUCAAUGACGUCUAUCAGAGAAUGAAAUCUGAUAUCCUGGUCUAUCUGUAGUUGCCUCUUAACUGUCUCCUAAGUCAUUGGCAACGAUUGAUCACAGUAAGUAUUGAUGCAAGGAACUACGCAAGCGACUACAAAUGCUGGAAUCUGGAGCAAAAUACAUUCUGCUGGAGGAACUCAGCAAAUUGAGUGGGGGAAAGGAACUGUGAACUGAUUGGGGUGCGACUCUACAUCUAAACUCAUAAUGCAGGGUCCAACUCAACAUGUUAACAGUUCAUUUCCUCCACAAAUUCUCCUGAGCUCUUCCAUCAGUUUUCUAUUACAAUUAAUGGUGACAUUGCAUCAAUGUGAAGAAAUAGAUUUAACUACCAAGUAUAACACACUGGAGGGGAAUAAUUUGAUAAAGUGAGAUUAGGAAGCGUUAAUUUUUACCUGUGGUGUUUAGAAAAAUCACAUCGUCACUUAUAAGAUUAUGAGAGGGGUUGAGAUUUUGUAAGACUCUAAUGAUAUAAUACCAACCCUAUAGUUGACAGAAGGAAAGUAAAUGGAUGCAGGAAAAUAUGGAUAGGCUGCUCAGUUGGCCAGGAAAAUUGAAAAUAAAAUAUGUAUCGAAGAAGCAUGAAGUUUCAAAGAGUACAAAAAAAGAGUAUAAAACAAAUGGAAUGAUAUUAGGUGGUGCUAAUUGCCAUUGGGACCUUGGACUGCAUGUUUAAAGAAUGUUCAUUGCAGUAGGACAGGUAAAUAGGAUAGUUAAAUAACUUUUAACUAUCAUCUUGCUAAGGAGCUAAUGGCGCCUAAAACAGCGACUCUUUUGCUUGCAUCUUCGGAAACAGCUUAUUUCUAUCUUUAAUAUUUCUAUUUUUUUCCCUUCAGGGUUCUUUUGAAGGCCCUGACCUGGAGUUACAUGCUGACUUUGGUUCUUUGCUGGAAUGGGACCCGCUCUCGGGGUCUCACAAAUGCCUAUUAUUCGAGAUAACAAGGAUGCAGCUCAGAAGGUUAGCUUGCCUUCAGGAUUCUGAGAUUCCAUAGCUCUGGAGACAGGCAGACUCGUGGUCAUUGCCUCUGCAGGGAAUCAGUGUGUCAUGUGAGAUGGAAGAUCGAGAGCAGCAAGCUGGAUGCUGGCUGUGUGUCCAGAGACCCGAGUUAUUUGGGCACAGAGCUUGGAAACGGACUUUUAACAUCAUAAAUCAGCAAGUUGUUUGUUAUGUCUCCCCUCUUGCUGUGAAAUGGAAACUGCUCUUUUUCCCUUAUUAGGGAGAAUGAGAGCCUGUGGUAUGUUGAAUUACCAGGUGAACAAGUAUUCUUUGGGGUUCUGCAAGUCUGCGUCUUUAUUGAUGUUUUGCUGCACACGAGUGCAGAUGCUUUUUGCUGGUGAGGAAGAGGGGAUCAUUGCUUGCUGCUGCUUAUACAUGGGACAGAGGAGCUGGGAGGGGGGCUUUGGGGUUUUAACAUUUAACUGUCAUUCAUUCUUUGGGGCACUCGUCUGCUUUCAUGGAUGGUUGUGAAGAGAAAGCAUUUAGGAUUUAUAUUGCAUACAUUUCUCUAACCUUUAAAUGUACCUUUGGAAUCUUUGAACUGAAGAUGUAUCAUGGAUAUUAGACUGAAUGUUGUGCUGACCUUUUAAUCUACCUUACAUCAAUCAAACCCUGCCAUCCUACAUCACCCUUCAUUUUCUUCAUGCAUGUGUCUAUUUAAAAGUUUCUUAAAUUUUCCCAAUGUAUCUGCCCUUACCACCACCUUGAAAUCCCCUUGGACUUUAUCAUUUUUCUGAACCUGCACCUCAGUUAGAGGUGAACCGACCCAAGAGCCGCUGGCAGUUGGACGUUCCUUAUGGAUCCACUAACUGUCUAUCAAUUCACAGUGCACUGUUUCUUAUAUGUGAAGCGAUCUAGUCAUAGCCUUGAUGCAUGCUUGAAAGCAACACCUCCUCUGAUUUGCAGGCUUAAGUACGUAAGUAGAUGUUACCAAAGUGUUGCAGUUAGCACAACAGUUUGGGGCGUCAGAGUUCAGAGCCCAAUUCUGAUGAAAUUGGUAAGGAGUUCCCCUUGGAAUGCGUGGAUUCCAUCAGGUGUUCCCGCUUCCUCCCACAGCCCGAAGUCACGUCAGUUAGUCGGUCAGUUGGUCAUUGUAAAUUGUCCCCUGCUUCGGCUAGGAAUAAAUUGGGGGUUGCUGGCAGCAUGGUUCAAAGGGCCAGAAGGAUCUGUUCUACACUGCAUCGCUGGAUAAAUAACUAAAUAAUCCCUCUCCACACCAUAAGUGAAUGUCAAAUUGUGCAAAUCAGCUCCAAGAACAUUUGUUAUAAAAUCAUCUGCUUAAAAGAAUAUUGUUAUCCCAUUAACUUUUCUUCAUUGAUCACUUGUUGCGUUGCUAAUUUCUCUUCUGAUAAAAAUGUUCCAGGGAAACAAUCAGCAGCCAUUAACAUUUAAAGUCAUAUAAUUGUUACAAUAUGUAAUUACAAAUUAUUUUCAUCAACUCACUCUGCCUCCAGCUAAACAUUCAUGAGAUUCAUUGCUAAAACUGUAAUGAGGAAUAUGUAUCAGAAUUACAAUUGGUACAAUUAUUACCUUCAAACACUUUAGUUUACAUCCUGUGGCGACAUGCUUUAAGAAGUCCAUCUUUUUAUGUCUAAAACUGACUUUUAAAUAUUUAUUUUGCAGGUUUUAUAUAUUGUGCAUCCAUUCCUGGGGCAUCAGUUCUUACAACAAUUUUAUAUUAUGCUCUAUUUGUUCAGACAAAUGAAUCCCACUUGCAUAAAUACAAGCACAAGACUGCAGAUAAGACAUAAGACCGAGGAGCAGAAUUAGGCCAUUUGGCCCAUCCAGUCUGCUGCACCAUUCCAUCACGGCUCAUUUAUUUGUUUGUUUGUUAUAUUUUUUUACGAGCUGUGUUAUAUGAUAUGGGUAAUUGUGGUCUUUCCUUGACGACGAUUUUUCUUGGUAAAUUUUUCUACACAAGUCGUUUGCCAUCUCCUUCUCCUGCAUGGCAUCUUUACAAGACAAGUCACCCCAGUCAUUAUCAGUACACUUCAGAGAUAGCCUGCUUGCUGUCAAUGGUUGCAUAACCAGGACUUGUGAUAUGCUCAUACGACCAUUCACCACCUGCUCCCAUGGCUUCACGUGACCCUGAUCGAGGGCAAGGAAUGGUGGUGGUGGGGGGGGGGGGGGACUACAGGCUAGCAGACAGAAGGAAUGUCCUACAACUCCUUUGGUAGAGAUGUAUCUUCACCCCACCACCCAGUGCUGAUUUAUUAUCUCUCUCAAAACUAUUUUCUUGCCUUCUCGCCAUAAUCUUUGUAGCCUGUACUAAUCAAGAAGCUAUCAAACUCUGUUGUAAAUAUGCUUAAUGAUGUGGCCUCCACAGCCAUCAAUGGCAAUGAAUUCUACAGAUUCACCAACCUCUGGCAGAAGAAGUUGCUCCUCAUUUCUGUUUUAAAGGGACAUCCCUCUAUUCUGAGGCUGUGCCCCCUCUGGUUCAAGACUCCACGAUUAUGGGAAACAUUCUCUCCACAUCCAUUCUAUCUAGGCUUUUCAAUAUUCAAAUAGGUUUUAGUGAGUUCCCUACUCAUUCUUCUGAGCAUAGGCCCAGAACCAUCAAAUGCUCCUCAUGCAAUAACUCAUAAAUUAUACACAAUGUUUUUCAAGAAAGAACACGAUUAAAAUUUGAGCAUCAAGUAUUCAAAGUUAUCAUCGUGAUGUUCAGCUAUAGUUGCUGUCCUUGAACCUGAUGUUGUGGGACUUCAGGCUUUGGUAACUCCUGUGGUAGCUGUGAAAGACGGCAUGACUCAGAUGGUGAGACUUUUUGAAGAAAGAUGAACUUAAUGAUGGAAGGCAGCAAGAACUAUGAUAAUGGAUGAAAUUGAAUUAUCUGAAACCCUCUCCCCUUUCCCCACAAUGUGAUCUGGUUUAUAAAGUUCCAAAUUAAGUGCAUGUUCUUGAAAACUGUAUCUGUUGUCAGUCUGAAUUCAAACCUUAUCUUGCUCAAUAAUAAUCAACAUGCCUGGCAGAAUCAAUGGUGUAAGAAACAGAACUAAUGAUUUUGGUUGAUGAUCCAUCAUUAGAAUUCAGAAAAGUUAGAAAUCAACUAUAUUUUAAGCUGCAGAGAUGGAAAGGGAUUGGAGAGAAAACAAAGUUUGGCUUUGGAGUUAAACCUGCAGAAGACCAAAUGCUAUAUAGAUAACUAACUGUACUGGCUGAGAGAGGGUGGGGAAGAUGUGUCAAUCAAAGCUGAACUGACUAGAGGAGAUAUAAAUUGAAAGAGGUAAGUGACAACAAAGGAAGUCAGAGAUUAGUUACAAAACAUUAGAAAUAUGAAAUAAAAGAAACAACAGGUCAGGCAGCACCUGUGGAAAAAGAAAAAAGUGAGUGAAAAUGCACACUUUUUUUUUAUCAGAAGUAGGGAGUUUUGGUACAAAAUGUAAAGGCAGGUCAUCUGAAUUUGUUGAAUUUCAUGCUGAGUUCCGGUUAAUGCCUGCAAGAAAAUAAAUUUCAAUGUAGUAUAUGGUAAUAUGUAUAUGUAUGUAAAGGGAUUUCUUUUUUAUAUUACUGUGUGUGUUAAUCAAAAUUGCUUCUUUGUUAAGUUAAAAGUAAGAAUGCUUCUUUGUUAGGUUAACUGGAGAGAGAGUGCUUUCGCUUGUAGCUUGUUUGGGUUAUAAUUAAUGAUAAUGAGAAUUUUAUUCAUUCUUUAACCAAUUGGGAUAGAUGUUAUUCUUUCUUGUGGGUCUGUAAGCUAGUGGCGGACUUUUGGGAGGGUUGUAAGGGGAGAUCCUGAGGAAGGCAGAUGGUGCUGGAUAUGCUCUGGUGGACCACUGAAGUUGGUCCCGAGUGGCCGGUUGUGGAGGUCAGAGAAGGUCGAAUAGUGGACCAAAGACUUUGAUGGUUGAGCGCCAACAAUUGUGCACGUGUUGACUGAUAAGUUCUGGCACCUUUUCUUGCCUUUCUUUUCUUUCAUAUAUAUCGUAUUGCUAUUAAUCACUUAGUUCUAGUAAGAUUUAUGAAGUGUAUUCUGUAAACACACAUGGCGUGCAGUUUGAUAUUGUGUGUGCGAGUUUGUACCACUGCGCAUUUCACAGCAUCCAUGUAUACGGGAGAUACGGUUUGGUAGGUGGAUGGAUUUUCCCCUAAACGUACACCAGCCAAUCGUGUGAGCGUUACACGUACAUAGAACAUAUAACAGUACAGCCUAGGAACAGGUCUUUUGGCCCACAAUAUUGUGCCAAACCAAAUAAAUUAGUAAUCAAAUGACUAAUUAAUAUAGUGUCUUAUGACUACACAAUGCCCAUAUCCCUCCAUUUUCCUCACAUUCAUGCACCUAUCAAAAUGUCUCUUAAAAGUCCCUAUCACUAUCACUACCCUAGGCUUUGCUGGCCUGUGGUGUAGUGGCAUCUGCACUGGAUUUCGAGGAGAGCGGUCCCAUGUUCGAAUCCGCUGGCUCCUAGCAUGCUUUCCAUCCAUGCUGGGUUGAGCUUAGAGCAAGCAACUCAGCUUCGUAAAAAAACAGACAAAUGCAAAAGAGAUGGAAAUGUUGCCACCCAAUGUGGCACAAGGCAAGGAGAGGAACAACAGGAAAUACCCAAGGCAGUGCAUUCCAUGACCCACUACAAAACCUGUCCCUCACACCUCCAUUAAAAUUACCCCCUCUCACCUUAAGUGCAUGCCAUCUAGUAUGAGACAUUUCAACCUUAGGAAUGUCACUUUGAUAGUUAAUUGUCUUUGACUUUAAGGUAAGACACUGUCCAUUGAACACCUUCUGAUUCAGUGCAUCUUCUCUUGCUUUUAGCAUUUAUUCUGGCCAUGUCAGAUGCUCCAGUAAUGUCCCAUUGCCAUGUCAUAAUGUUUUCCUCCCGGACUAUAGUAAAGAAUGGAGCUAUGAUUGGCAAACCUUCCUGACCAUGGGAAGGAAGCCAUGGCUAGCAUACUGGAAACCAUGAACAAGAGAUAAUCUGCAGAUGCUGGAAAAUAUGAAUAACACACACAAAAUGCUGGAGGAACUCAGCAGGCCAGGCAGCAGCUAUGGAAAAAAAUACAGUGGAAGGGUUUUGGCCUGAAAUGUCAACUGUACAUUUUUCCAUAGACACUAUCUGGCCUGCUGAGUUCCUUCAGUAUUUUGUGUGUGUUGCUAGCAUACUGUGUAAUUCAACUCAAAUCAAUGAAAUAAACCAAUGAUCUAUUGAAGCAAUGAGAAUGGUGUUAACAAUUCAAAUAAUUCACUAAUAUUCUUCAGCAAACAUUCUGUUUUAUUUAACUUGUCACCUUAGGAAUUGCAAUGUUUUAUAUAUAUAUAUAUAUAUAUAUAACUAGUCAAAUAAUCUACUAGAAAUAUUAAACAUAAAAUAUUAUCUUCAGGAAGUGUUAAUAAAUCUGAUCACUUGGAACAUCCUGCUGGUAUUUCUUCUAGAGUUUAUUUUCAGUGAGCAAAUUAACAUUAAGUAAAAUGCUCCAAGGUUAUUAGGCAAAUCUAUGACAUUAGUGUUAGUGGAUUGUUUUCAUUUUAAAAGAUUGUUAUCUGUUGAUUUCUCCAUGGAUGCUGCCUGACUUGCUGAGUAAUUCUUCAUAAUUUCUCGUUUGGCUCCUCCCACUUCCUCCAAACCAAAGGCGUAGCCACGGGUACCCGUAUGGGUCCCAGCUAUGCCUGCCUUUUUGUUGGCUUUGUGGAGCAGUCCAAAUUCCAAGCCUAUACGGGUAUUCUUUCCCCACUUUUCCUUCGCUACAUCGACGACUGCAUUGGCGCUGCCUCCUGCACGCAUGCUGAGCUCGUUGACUUCAUUAACUUUGCCUCCAACUUUCACCCUGUCCUCAAAUUUACCUGGGUCCAUUUCCAACACCUCCCUCCCCUUUUUUGAUCUUUAUGUCUCUCUCUCUGGAGAUGGUUUAUCUACUGAUAUCUACUAUAAGCCUACGGACUCUCACAGCAACCUGGGCUAUUUCUCUUCCCACCCGACUGUUGCAAAAAUGCUAUCCCCUUCUCACAAUUCGUCUGUCCCUGCCGCAUCUGCUCUCAGGAUGAAGCUUUUCAUUCCAGGACAAAGGAGAUGUCUUACUUUUUUAAACAAAGGGGCUUGCCUUCCUCCACCAUCAACUCUGCUCUCAAACGCACCUCUCCCAUUUCACGCACAUCUGCUCUCACCCCAUCCUUCUGCCACCUCACUAAGGAUAGGGUUCCCCUUGUCCUCACCUACCACCCCACCACUCUGUGUCCAACAUAUAAUUCUCUGUAACUUCCACCACCUCCAACAGGAUCCCACUACCAAGCACAUCUUUCCUCCCCCCCCCCCUUCUGCUUUCUGCAUGGAUUGCUCCCUAUCCGACUCCCUUGUCCAUUUGUCCCCCCCUUCCCUUCCCAGCACUUAUCCUUAUAAGCAGAGCAAGUCAGCUGCCCUUACACUUCCUCCCUCACCACCACUCAAGAUCCCGGGUGGUCCUUCCAGGUGAGGCGACACUUCACCUGUGAGUCAGCUGGUGUGGUAUACUGCGUCCGGUGCUCCCGGUGUGGCCUUUUAUAUAUUGAUGAGACCCGGCGCAGACUGGGAGACCGUUUUGCUGAACACCUGCGCUCUGUCCACCAGAGAAAGCAGGAUCUCCCAGUGCUACACAUUUUAAUUCCACAUCCCAUUCCCAUUCUGAUAUGUCUAUCCAUGGUCUCCUCUACUGUCAAGAUGAAGCCAAACUCAGGUUGGAGGAACAACACCUUAUAUACCGGCUGGGUAGCCUCCAACCUGAUGGCAUGAAUAUGGAUUUCUCCAACUUCCGUUAAUGCCCCUUCCCCUUCUUACCCCAUCCUUUAUUUAUUUAUAUAUUUAUUUGUUUGUUUAUUUAUUAAUUAUUCCCCUCCCCCUUUCUUCUCCCUCUUUUGUCUCUCUCUGCCCCUCUCACAAUCACUUCUUGCCUGCUCUCCAUCUCCCUCUGGUGCUCUCCUCCCCCUUUCUUUCUCCCUAGGCCUCCUGUCCCAUGAUCGUCUCCCUUCUCCAGCUCUGUAUCCUUUUUGCUAAUCACCUUUCCAGCUUUUGGCUUCAUCCUUCCCCUCCCACUUUCAAAUCUCUUACUAUCUCUUCUUUCAGUUAGUCCUGAUGAAGGGUCUCGGCCUGAAACAUCGACAGUGCUUCUCCCUAUAGAUGCUGACUGGCCCAUAGCAUUCCACCAGCAUUUUGUGUAUGUUGCUUAAAAUUCCAGCUUCUGCAGUUUUCCUCGUGUUUACUUACAAUUUUUUUUGUUUUUGUUUCAGAUCUCUGACAUCUGGUGUUUUUUCUUGCUUUUCGUUUCCCACAAGUAGCUCUGUUAUCCAUGGCUGAGUGCGUGAAUCAGUGGCACGGAAACCAGAAACUGUUGGAGCCCGUGGCUUAAUCAGUUCAAUCAAGUGAUUUAGCGCUCUGCUAUUCACAAGGAAAUUCCAGGAGAGGACCACAAGCACGGGCUGUCUUGAGUAAAAGAUCAGAGAUGAGAUGUGAGGCCUAGAUCAAUUCCAUUACUCACUGAUCAAUGCAAUGAGGAAGACUGAAACAUGGAGACGAAAAGGGAGGAGUCCGCGUCAGUCCAGAGGCUGUGCUUUGGCAGUCAUGCCCCACGGAAGGGGGGUUGAUGUCUUUUCUUUCACAGCUUCCAUGUUUUUUCUGUAUUUUAUGGCUACCUGCAGAAGAGAAAUCUCAGAGCUGUAUUCUGUAUAUACUUUGAUAAUAAAAUGAACCUUUGAACCUUCAAUUAUCAUCAAUGAGGAGGUACCAGAGCCUGAAGAUGCAUACAGAAUGAUUGAGGAACAGCUUUCUGCCAUCAGAUUUCUGAAUGGUUCAUGAACACUCACUAUUUUUCUCUGCUUUUGAUCAGUUUCUUUAUGUUUUAGAUAUCAUUAUAACUGAUAGGAAUUUUGAUUUCAUUCUGUGGACAUCAAUAUGCAGUGGCUUUUUGAUGAGUGGUGAACUUUUUUGCCCUCUGGAAGUAGUGUCUGAUAUCUGAUGCAACAUGUCAGCUCUGUUUUGUAUCAGAGUGGCUCACUGUGAAGGAAUGCCUGCAGCCAUCUCUCAUUACUCUCUCUGACAUCAAUUAAUGCAAACUAAGUACUUCUUUUUGAGCAUAUGUCUUAAACUAGUUACAUGUAGAGUUUUGACAUAAUGUUCUAACAGAUUUCUGAACGCCCCAUGAACCUGUGAACACUACCUUUUUGCUCCUCUUUGGCUCUAUUUAUUUAGUUUGUAAAUUGCAGAGAUUUUUAUUUCUUUGUACUGCUUCAAAGCAACAGAUUUCACAUCAUAUAUUAGUGAAGAUUUACCUGAUUCUGAUUCAGGUUCAUAUAACCUGGUCCUUACAAGUCUUGGCUAAAGCAUCAAAGUCCAUGAAGUUGAAUAGAAUAUAAAGGACUCAUAAAAUGAGGAUUAUUGUUUCUGUCAACACCUGCAAGAAUAUUAAAUAUUAAAUAGAGACAAAGGAGGCUGCAAAUGCUGGAAUCUGGAUCAAUAAACAGUCUGUUAGUGGAACUGACCUGACCUAAAGCAGAGGUUGAUAGGUUCUUGAUUAGUCAGGGUGCCGUAAGUUAUGGAGAGAAGGUAGAAGGAUGGUGUUGAAAGGGAAAUAAAUCAGCCAUGUUGGAAUGGCAGAGCAGACUCGAUGGACAGAAUGGCCUAAUUUUGCUCCUAUGUCUUGUGGUCUGAUGGACGUAGGGUUUUGACCUGAAAUGCCAACAACUCCACAGAUGCUGCUUGACCCAUUGAGCUUCGUCCAGUAGAUUAUCUGUUGCUUAAGACAAUCAACUGUCUUCAGUGUUAACUUAUAAAUUACCAGUAGCCUCACUCACAUUUAGCAUGGCUGACAAAUUCAUAUGUUUCUCCAUUAAACACUAUUCUCUAAAAAGCAACGUUUGAACUCUUGAUUCUCCAAUCCAUCUAUCUCAUCAUGGCCCCUGCAGGUUAUUUGUUUACCUGGACUGCACUUUCUCUGCACCUCCAACACUAUAUUCUACAUCACACACUUAAAGCUGGAGGAACAAUCAAAUUCACUGGCACUAUUAUUCAGAAUCUGCAGUGCUGAGGGAUUGUGAAACUGUUAAACUGUGACGUGAGGGGAGUACGACAGCGCAGUGCCAUUGAUCAAUAGUGGUCGUAGAGCAAUACAGCACAGAUACAGGCCCUUCAGCUCAAUGAGUCUGUGCCGAACUUAGUACAGUCGGCCCUCCUUAUCCACAGUGGAUUGGUUCUGGGACACCCCGCGGAUACCAAAAUUGGCGGAUGUCAAGUCCCUUAUUUAACAUGUAUCAGUGUGGUGCUCUUUAGGACCCAGCGGAACCCCGGACUUUAUUUAAAAUGUCUCUGUGUGAAGGACAUUAGGACCUGGUGGUGUAGCUCUGAAUCCGCAGUGUUUCUGUUCACAAAAAUAAUCACCAUCGCAAUCGAAAAUAAGGUAGAAGUAAUAAAGUGAUCAGAAAGAGGUGAAACGCCAUCUGUCAUUGGAAAAGCAUUACGCUACAGUUGGUCAAUGAUCGGAACAAUUUUAAUGGAGCAUGUGAAAGGCCCUGCCCCGAUGAAAGCUACAAUUAUUACUAAGCAACACAGUGGUUAAAUUAUUGAAAUACGUAUGUUUCUUAAGUGUUUUAUAUGCAUAUGUACUAUAUACUAAGAAAAAUGUUUGGCUAACUGAUGAUAAAUAAUACCGGAUGUACCUGUUUCGACUUCAAAUCCGACUUAAAGACGGACUCAGGAAUGGAACUUACUCAUAACCCCGGGACUGCCUGUACUUUUAAGUCAUU